CCCUGGCCGGUGUUGUGACAUGCCUAAUACAUGCAAGUCGAGCGAACAGAGAAGGAGCUUGCUCCUUCGACGUUAGCGGCGGACGGGUGAGUAACACGUGGGCAACCUACCUUAUAGUUGGGAUAACUCCGGGAAACCGGGGCUAAUACCGAAUAAUCUAUUUUACUUCAUGGUGAAAUACUGAAAGACGGUUUCGGCUGUCGCUAUAAGAUGGGCCCGCGGCGCAUUAGCUAGUUGGUGAGGUAACGGCUCACCAAGGCGACGAUGCGUAGCCGACCUGAGAGGGUGAUCGGCCACACUGGGACUGAGACACGGCCCAGACUCCUACGGGAGGCAGCAGUAGGGAAUCUUCCACAAUGGGCGAAAGCCUGAUAGGAGCAACGCCGCGUNGAGUAGAAGAAGGUUUCGGAUCGUAAAACUCUGUUGUAAGGGAAGAACAAAGUACAGUAGUAACUGGCUGUACCUUGACGGUACCUUAUUAGAAAGCCACGGGUUAACUACGUAGCCCAGCAAGCCNGCGAGUAAUACCGGUAGGGUGGNCAAAGCGUUGGUCCCGGGA
rnacentral:rRNA from 1 species